rnacentral:rRNA from 1 species
UACGUAGGUGGCGAGCGUUGUCCGGAAUUAUUGGGCGUAAAGAGCGUGUAGGUGGGAUGGUCAGUCUCAUGUAAAAGUGCGGGGCUCAACUCCGUAGCGCGUGAGAAACUGCCAUUCUUGAGUGCCGGAGAGGAAAGCGGAAUUCCCAGUGUAGCGGUGAAAUGCGUAGAUAUCAGGAGGAACACCGGCGGCGAAGGCGGCCCUCUGGAUCGUUGCUGACGCUGAGACGCGAAAGCGUGGGGAGCAAACAGG